UACGUAGGGUGCAAGCGUUGUCCGGAAUUAUUGGGCGUAAAGAGCUCGUAGGCGGUUUGUUGCGUCGGCUGUGAAAUCCCGAGGCUCAACCUCGGGUCUGCAGUCGAUACGAGCAAACUAGAGUGUUGCAGGGGAGACUGGAAUUCCUGGUGUAGCGGUGAAAUGCGCAGAUAUCAGGAGGGAACACCGGUGGCGAAGGCGGGUCUCUGGG
rnacentral:rRNA from 1 species